rnacentral:rRNA from 1 species
AAAACUUUCAACAACGGAUCUCUUGGUUCUGGCAUCGAUGAAGAACGCAGCGAAAUGCGAUAAGUAAUGUGAAUUGCAGAAUUCAGUGAAUCAUCAAAUCUUUGAACGCACAUUGCGCCCCUUGGUAUUCCGAGGGGCAUGCCUGUUCGAGCGUCAUUAC